UGUGUAGGUGGCGCCGUAAGUCGGGUGUGAAAUUUCGGAGCUUAACUCCGAAACUGCAUUCGAUACUGCGGUGCUUGAGGACUGGAGAGGAGACUGGAGUUCAUGGUGUAGCAGUGAAAUGCGUAGAGAUCAUGAGGAAGACCAGUGGCGAAGGCGGGUCUCUGGACAGUUCCUGACACUGAGACACGAAGGCCAGGGAGCAAACG
rnacentral:rRNA from 1 species